rnacentral:rRNA from 1 species
AUUGAACGCUGGCGGCAUGCCUUACACAUGCAAGUCGAACGGCAGCACGGGUGCUUGCCCCUGGUGGCGAGUGGCGAACGGGUGAGUAAUACAUCGGAACAUGUCCUGUAGUGGGGGAUAGCCCGGCGAAAGCCGGAUUAAUACCGCAUACGAUCCACGGAUGAAAGCGGGGGACCUUCGGGCCUCGCGCUAUAGGGUUGGCCGAUGGCUGAUUAGCUAGUUGGUGGGGUAAAGGCCUACCAAGGCGACGAUCAGUAGCUGGUCUGAGAGGACGACCAGCCACACUGGGACUGAGACACGGCCCAGACUCCUACGGGAGGCAGCAGUGGGGAAUUUUGGACAAUGGGCGAAAGCCUGAUCCAGCAAUGCCGCGUGUGUGAAGAAGGCCUUCGGGUUGUAAAGCACUUUUGUCCGGAAAGAAAUCCUUGGCUCUAAUACAGUCGGGGGAUGACGUUACCGGAAGAAUAAGCACCGGCUAACUACGUG